rnacentral:lncRNA from 1 species
AGGCCAAAGUUAAGGAUGAGCCGCAACGGAGAUCGGCGAGGUUAUCUGCUAAACCUGCUCCUCCGAAGCCAGAGCCUAAACCUAAAAAGGCAGCUCCAAAGAAGAGUGAGAAGUUGCCUAAGGGAAAAAAGGGGAAAACUGAUGCUGGCAAGGAGGGAAACAACCCUGCAGAAAAUGGAGAUGCCAAAACAGACCAGGCACAGAAAGCUGAAGGUGCUGGUGAUGCCAAGUAAAAUGUGUGAAUUUUUGAUAACUGUGUACUUCUGGUGACUGUACAGUUUGAAAUACUAUUUUUUAUCAAGUUUUAUAACAAUGCAGAAUUUUGUUUUACUUUUUUUUAAGCUAUGUUGUUAGCACACAGACCGCUUCGUUGUUGUGUUGGGGGGGAGGGGCAGUGGGGACAAAUGUCACUUAGUCUAUUUCUUGGAACCUGAAUUUUAAAAAAAACAAAAGUUUUCCCCCUCCCCCGAUUCUUUGGAAGAAGGGCUCUUCCUGAAUAGAGGAGGAAGGAUUCCUUCGUGCUGCACGUCUGUCAAGUUCUGUGAAGUGCAUCAGAGUGAACGUUGAAGCUCCCAAGAUGCCUGUUGCCGACUUCAAAUCUGCCGUUUGUAAUGCCCUCUGUGUUUCCUUUCGUGUCCUCAUUAUUUGCCUAGAGCUUAUCACUCCAAAAUACGGCAAAAAUGGCAUUUUGGGACUUGACCACUCUAAAUGCAUUGUCAGGUGAUCCGGACUUCUCGUGUUCAAUUUGGGAUAUAAUGGCUCUAAAAGGAGCUGCAUUUUCUCUUUUAUAUUGUGGAUCUUCAGAUUAAGAAACCUGCAGUUUUAAUUUUUCCUCUAAAAGUCAGGGUAGGUUUGUGAAAAGUUGUUAAACAACAUACUAAAUGUGAAAGUGUCCACCCUCACUCUAAACUUUUCCCUCUUCAAGUAUGAAAUGAAGAUUCUUCAGUUUUAUAGCAACUUUUACGUUUUGGUAGUCCAUGAAGGGAGGGGAGUUUGACAGUUGUUGUAAAAUGUUGCAGAUUGUAGCCCAUGUCCUGCCUAAAUUACCAUGAUUGUUUAUGAAAAGUACCUUUAAUAAAGCUGGAUACGGUUUGGCUUGGACUGUUCUU